rnacentral:rRNA from 1 species
AUUGAACGCUGGCGGCAGGCCUAACACAUGCAAGUCGAACGGUAACAGGAAACAGCUUGCUGUUUCGCUGACGAGUGGCGGACGGGUGAGUAAUGUCUGGGAAACUGCCUGAUGGAGGGGGAUAACUACUGGAAACGGUAGCUAAUACCGCAUAACGUCGCAAGACCAAAGAGGGGGACCUUCGGGCCUCUUGCCAUCGGAUGUGCCCAGAUGGGAUUAGCUAGUAGGUGGGGUAACGGCUCACCUAGGCGACGAUCCCUAGCUGGUCUGAGAGGAUGACCGGCCACACUGGAACUGAGACACGGUCCAGACUCCUACGGGAGGCAGCAGUGGGGAAUAUUGCACAAUGGGCGCAAGCCUGAUGCAGCCAUGCCGCGUGUAUGAAGAAGGCCUUCGGGUUGUAAAGUACUUUCAGCGGGGAGGAAGGGAGUAAAGUUAAUACCUUUACUCAUUGACGUUACCCGCAGAAGAAGCACCGGCUAACUACGUG